rnacentral:rRNA from 1 species
CCUUGUACACACCGCCCGUCACACCAUGGGAGUCGUUUGCUCCAGAAGUGGCUGCGCCAACCCGCAAGGGAGGCAGGUCCCCAAGGAGUGAACGGUAACCGGGGUG